rnacentral:rRNA from 1 species
UACGUAGGGGGCAAGCGUUGUCCGGAAUUAUUGGGCGUAAAGAGCUCGUAGGCGGUCUGUCGCGUCGAUCGUGAAAACUUGGGGCUUAACCCUGAGCUUGCGGUCGAUACGGGCAUGACUGGAGUUCGGCAGGGGAGACUGGAAUUCCUGGUGUAGCGGUGAAAUGCGCAGAUACCAGGAGGAACACCAAUGGCGAAGGCAGCUCGCUGGAACGGUACUGACGCUGAGGCGCGAAAGCGUGGGGAGCGAACAGG